AUUGAACGCUGGCGGCAGGCCUAACACAUGCAAGUCGAACGAGUGGCGGACGGGUGAGUAAUGUCUGGGAAACUGCCCGAUGGAGGGGGAUAACUACUGGAAACGGUAGCUAAUACCGCAUACCAUCGGAUGUGCCCAGAUGGGAUUAGCUAGUAGGUGGGGUAACGGCUCACAUAGGCGACGAUCCUUAGCUGGUCGGAGAGGAUGACCAGCCACACUGGAACUGAGACACGGGCCAGACUCCCACGGAAGGCAGCAGUGGGGAAUAGUGCACAAUGGACGAAAGCCUGAUGCAGCCAUGCCGCGUGUAUGAAGAAGGCCUUAGGGUUGUAACGUACUUUCAGCGAGGAGGCGUUACUCGCAGAGGAAGCAACGGCGAACUCCGUGCCAGCAGCCGCGGUAAUAC
rnacentral:rRNA from 1 species